rnacentral:pre_miRNA from 1 species
CAACUACUCCCUCUGUUCCAAAUUUCUUGUCUUAGAUUUGUCUAGAUACGGAUGUAUCUAAUACUAAAAUGUGACAUGAUACAUCCGUAUCUAGACAAAUCUAAGACAAGAAUUUUGGGACGGAGGGAGUACUUU